rnacentral:misc_RNA from 1 species
GAUGAAGAACGCAGUGAAAUGCGAUAAGUAAUGUGAAUUGCAGAAUUCAGUGAAUCAUCGAAUCUUUGAACGCACAUUGCGCCCGUCAGUAUUCUGGCGGGCAUGCCUGUUCGAGCGUCAUUUCAACCCUCAAGCUCUGCUUGGUGUUGGGCCCUGCCCGCUGCGGCCGGCCCUAAAGACAGUGGCGGUGCCGCCUGGCCCUGAGCGUAGUACAUCUCUCGCUCCAGUGCCCGGUGGUAGCCUGCCAGAACCCCAACUCUCGUGGUUGACCUCGGAUCAGGUAGGGAUACCCGCUGAACUUAAGCAUAUCAAUAAGCGGAGGA